CGACGCUACGCGAAGAACCUUACCUGGGUUUGACAUGCACGGGAAUCUAGCAGAGAUGCUAGCGCCCUCCGGGGCUCGUGCACAGGUGCUGCAUGGCUGUCGUCAGCUCGUGCCGUGAGGUGUUGGGUUAAGUCCCGCAACGAGCGCAACCCUUACUUUUAGUUGCCAUCGGGUAAUGCCGGGCACUCUAGAGGGACUGCCAGCACAAGCUGGAGGAAGGUGGGGAUGACGUCAAGUCAGCAUGGCCCUUACGUCCAGGGCUACACACGUGCUACAAUGGCCGGUACAAAGGGCAGCCAACCCGCGAGGGGGAGCGAAUCUCAAAAAACCGGUCUCAGUUCGGAUUGUAGGCUGCAACUCGCCUACAUGAAGUCGGAAUCACUAGUAACCGCAGAUCAGCUACGCUGCGGUGAAUACGUUCCCGGGCCUUGUACACACCGCCCGUCACGUUACGAAAGUUUGUUGUACCCGAAGUCGCUGGGCUAACCGCAAGGAGGCAGGCGCCGAAGGUAUGAUAGAUGAUUGGAACGAAGUCGUAACAAGGUAGCCGUAUCGGAAGG
rnacentral:rRNA from 1 species